ensembl:lncRNA
AGAACAGUCCCCACAUUCCUGGCUGGAGAUCGCUGGGAACAGUCAGGUUUGCGGGAGGAGAGAGACGGCUGCUCUGGACGCGUUAAGCCGGAGGAGGACACAGAAUCAGAGAAUCUGUGGGUGCCUGGGGGCCUGAACAGGCACAGGGGUGGGGCGGGAGGCUCUGGACAUCCCUGGGGUGGUUCAGAAAAACCCCGCCACCUUGUCAGCUGAAGGGUCCACAUUCGUCUGGGACCUGGGCCCCAUGUAUUUUCAAUCUCACGCCUUCCAUGCUGGGACAAGGACUUGCGCCAAAGAUCAGUUUCACAAUUACUACGAAGACAUUUCACAACAGACAACGGAGAAAGCAAACUCACAAGACGUCCUGGAAGACCUACGGCCAAUCUGAGAUCAAAUACAAUCUGGCCUUGGGAGCCAGGCCCGGGGGACAAGGUCCAGCCACUCCCGCCACUCCCUCCCACCACUCCUGGAUCUGUCCGGGGAGCGUCUGCGGGGUCACUGCUCUCUCCAGCAAGGGCCCUGAAGUCAGGGCAAGACACAGAUGCCAUCAGCGAGGGGCUGGUGGGGCCUCUGUCUCCUGCCCAGUCAGCUCAGUCCUCUUGUUUACUAGCAAACCCGCACCGCACACGCCAAUUCAUCGUCCUGAAUAAUUGAUCCAGCACGUUUGAAUAAUUCAGGCUCAGCUGGGACCCACGGUGGAGAAAUCCUAUAGUCCUUUGGCUUUCUCUCCCCAUGUGACAAAGCUGGGACAGACCAGGAACCACCCCCCAGGGAGCCAGCCUCUUAACCGUCUCUGGCUCAGGAAAGCCCUGCAGACCCUGGGGCUGCCCGAAUGUGGGCAGCCAUGAAGAUUUCGGCCCACACACAUCAGCCUCCAAAGCCCAGAAGCUUUCCUUCAACUAGCGGCAGGAGGAAAGGAGGACUUCAGGGGUCGUGACCACAGCUUCCAGCUUUAUGUAAACACACAUCUUAGUGUCCUAGAAAUGACCCAGAACUGUGAGCUGCGGGCGAAGCAAAGUGAGGGCCCCCCCAGCUUGCUUGCCCUCGUCUCGUGGGCCCAGGGCAGAGCCUGGCACCCCAUCUCGGCUUUGCUAAGACCAGCUGGGGACUGUGCUCAACACUACCUCAGGGAAGAUUCUGGUACUGCCCUGACAGGGACCCUGUCCUCACCCCGCCCACAGCUGAGCCCUGGAAUCUGACCAUCAGAGCCCCUUCCCUGGGGUCUGGAUUUUGGUCCCUGGUCACACUUCUGGUCCCCAGGGAAGGGAUGCUCUUUACACUGUGAUGAGGGUUCUGUACCUCAGGGUAAGGAAGCAACCAGAUGGCAGUUUCCACCAGGGGAAGAGUGAUGGGAGGGUUUGAUGGGAGAGCGACUCUGCCCAUGAGAAUGCUCGGGGGGUCGGGGUCACCCAGCAGCUGCGCCUCCAGAGUGACGGCACAGCCCACAGUCACCUUCGAGCCUGCGGUUCUGCCUGACACCGAAGACUGUGCUUCUCUGGGUUUGAAUAUGAUGAACCAAGCGGAUUAAAUCAGAGCAAAGUGCCCGUCACCCUUUUCUCACUGUAUUUCUCUCUGUGCUGCUCCUCGGGCGUCUUUCUCAUACAUACUGGGUGCUUCCGUCUGAGUCAUCCAUGAGAGCAUAAGAAAUGCCCACGGUCAGGCCCGUGAUCUGCCCAGCUUCACCAGCGCAGAGCCUGGCAAUACCCUGCAUCUGCUGGACGCUUCCCUCUGAAACCGGCUGGGAACACCCCCUCGGCAAAGUCUACUAUGAAUUGCUCCUAACAUGGGUGUCCAGUAACAGAACCCAUCACCUACUGGCCACAGCUUGUUCUCCAGACACUGCUAAGCAUUCCCAUGCUUUCUUUCACUGGAUCCUGGUAACAGACUGGGAAGAACCUCUGAUCACCCCACUUUCCAGGUUCAACUCACCGGUGGACUUCCCCACUCGCAGGGGCGUGUGGGCCAGCGAGCAGACUUCCCACGUCCACCCAAGCCCUCGGGCAUCACUGCUCUAAGCUGAUCGUCCAGAGCCCGAAACUCCUGGUUCUUUCACUUGGUCGACUCUCGUUACUUCUGCUUUUUGCAACACCUCUAAAUUGGGGUGCUUCACGUAGAAAGUCAGAUUUCCAGCUUCUGCUGAAGGGCCGGGUGGACUGGCUGCUCUGUGCCCCCAGCACCCACGUGACCACCAGCUGCCACACAGGGCACGAGCCCAAGUCCCCACCACCCACAGCGGCGUCCUCACCAGGAGUCUGCACCGGCCCCGUUUACUGCCGCGCUUGAAAAUACCGAUGUGUACGCCUGCUCCUUCCAAAUGUGGGCACGCCACAAAUGGGCCUGGAAGAUCGUGUUUUCCAGGAAAAAAAAAAGGAAGUCAGAGAACGCUCUGAUGUAUUUUAUAGGAAAACAUGCAAAAAUCUGACCCUUACCUUAGAGGCCUCGGUGCACGCUGACCAGAAAACGGUGGAGCGCUCUGUGUGAAAGCUGUGGCGGGCCUGGGAAGCCGAGCUGGCCCUGAGGGGUGACACGGUCCCCAUGAGCUGAGGAGAAAAGGGAGCUGCCGCCACUGUGACCCCACAGCUGGGGAGAAGCCCCCCAUGGAACGUGGAUAACGAGGAAGAUACCCAGGCACCAGCGAUUGGAACUUGGACGCUGAU